rnacentral:rRNA from 1 species
UAAGACGAACCGUGCGAACGUUAUUCGGAAUCAUUGGGCUUAAAGGGCGCGUAGGCGGCGGUGUAAGUUGGAAGUGAAAUCCCAUCGGCUCAACCGUGGAAUUGCUCCCAGUACUGCAUCGCUCGAGGGGGAUAGGGGUUUGCGGAACUACCGGUGGAGCGGUGAAAUGUGUUGAUAUCGGUGGGAACGCCAGUGGCGAAAGCGGCAAACUUGACCCUUCCUGACGCUGAGGCGCGAAAGCUAGGGGAGCAAACGGGAUUAGAUACCCCGGUAGUCCUAGCCUUAAACGUUGGGUACUGAGUAGAAAGGGGACCGAUACCCCCUUCUGCUGGAGCGAAAGUGUUAAGUACCCCGCCUGGGGAGUAUGGUCGCAAGGCUG